UACAGAGGGUGCAAGCGUUAAUCGGAGUUACUGGGCGUAAAGGGCGCGUAGGCGGUUAUUUAAGUGAGAUGUGAAAUCCCUGGGCUUAACCUAGGAACUGCAUCUCAUACUGGAUGACUUGAGUAUUGUAGAGGGUAGUGGAAUUUCCGGUGUAGCGGUGAAAUGCGUAGAGAUCGGAAGGAACACCAGUGGCGAAGGCGGCUACCUGGACAAAUACUGACGCUGAGGCGCGAGAGCGUGGGGAGCAAACAGG
rnacentral:rRNA from 1 species